rnacentral:rRNA from 1 species
UUAAGCGACUAAGCGUACACGGUGGAUGCCCUGGCAGUCAGAGGCGAUGAAGGACGUGCUAAUCUGCGAUAAGCGUCGGUAAGGUGAUAUGAACCGUUAUAACCGGCGAUUUCCGAAUGGGGAAACCCAGUGUGAUUCGUCACACUAUCAUUAACUGAAUCCAUAGGUUAAUGAGGCGAACCGGGGGAACUGAAACAUCUAAGUACCCCGAGGAAAAGAAAUCAACCGAGAUUCCCCCAGUAGCGGCGAGCGAACGGGGAGGAGCCCAGAGCCUGAAUCAGUGUGUGUGUUAGUGGAAGCGUCUGGAAAGGCGCGCGAUACAGGGUGACAGCCCCGUACACAAAAAACACAUGCUGUGAGCUCGAUGAGUAGGGCGGGACACGUGGUAUCCUGUCUGAAUAUGGGGGACCAUCCUCCAAGGCUAAAUACUCCUGACUGACCGAUAGUGAACCAGUACCGUGAGGGAAAGGCGAAAAGAACCCCGGCGAGGGGAGUGAAAAGAACCUGAAACCGUGUACGUACAAGCAGUGGGAGCACGCUUAGGCGUGUGACUGCGUACCUUUGUAUAAUGGGUCAGCGACUUAUAUUCUGUAGCAAGGUUAACCGAAUAGGGGAGCCGAAGGGAAACCGAGUCUUAACUGGGCGUUAAGUUGCAGGGUAUAGACCCGAAACCCGGUGAUCUAGCCAUGGGCAGGUUGAAGGUUGGGUAACACUAACUGGAGGACCGAACCGACUAAUGUUGAAAAAUUAGCGGAUGACUUGUGGCUGGGGGUGAAAGGCCAAUCAAACCGGGAGAUAGCUGGUUCUCCCCGAAAGCUAUUUAGGUAGCGCCUCGUGAAUUCAUCUCCGGGGGUAGAGCACUGUUUCGGCAAGGGGGUCAUCCCGACUUACCAACCCGAUGCAAACUGCGAAUACCGGAGAAUGUUAUCACGGGAGACACACGGCGGGUGCUAACGUCCGUCGUGAAGAGGGAAACAACCCAGACCGCCAGCUAAGGUCCCAAAGUCAUGGUUAAGUGGGAAACGAUGUGGGAAGGCCCAGACAGCCAGGAUGUUGGCUUAGAAGCAGCCAUCAUUUAAAGAAAGCGUAAUAGCUCACUGGUCGAGUCGGCCUGCGCGGAAGAUGUAACGGGGCUAAACCAUGCACCGAAGCUGCGGCAGCGACGCUGAUGCGUUGUUGGGUAGGGGAGCGUUCUGUAAGCCUGCGAAGGUGUGCUGUGAGGCAUGCUGGAGGUAUCAGAAGUGCGAAUGCUGACAUAAGUAACGAUAAAGCGGGUGAAAAGCCCGCUCGCCGGAAGACCAAGGGUUCCUGUCCAACGUUAAUCGGGGCAGGGUGAGUCGACCCCUAAGGCGAGGCCGAAAGGCGUAGUCGAUGGGAAACAGGUUAAUAUUCCUGUACUUGGUGUUACUGCGAAGGGGGGACGGAGAAGGCUAUGUUGGCCGGGCGACGGUUGUCCCGGUUUAAGCGUGUAGGCUGGUUUUCCAGGCAAAUCCGGAAAAUCAAGGCUGAGGCGUGAUGACGAGGCACUACGGUGCUGAAGCAACAAAUGCCCUGCUUCCAGGAAAAGCCUCUAAGCAUCAGGUAACAUCAAAUCGUACCCCAAACCGACACAGGUGGUCAGGUAGAGAAUACCAAGGCGCUUGAGAGAACUCGGGUGAAGGAACUAGGCAAAAUGGUGCCGUAACUUCGGGAGAAGGCACGCUGAUAUGUAGGUGAAGCGACUUGCUCGUGGAGCUGAAAUCAGUCGAAGAUACCAGCUGGCUGCAACUGUUUAUUAAAAACACAGCACUGUGCAAACACGAAAGUGGACGUAUACGGUGUGACGCCUGCCCGGUGCCGGAAGGUUAAUUGAUGGGGUUAGCGCAAGCGAAGCUCUUGAUCGAAGCCCCGGUAAACGGCGGCCGUAACUAUAACGGUCCUAAGGUAGCGAAAUUCCUUGUCGGGUAAGUUCCGACCUGCACGAAUGGCGUAAUGAUGGCCAGGCUGUCUCCACCCGAGACUCAGUGAAAUUGAACUCGCUGUGAAGAUGCAGUGUACCCGCGGCAAGACGGAAAGACCCCGUGAACCUUUACUAUAGCUUGACACUGAACAUUGAGCCUUGAUGUGUAGGAUAGGUGGGAGGCUUUGAAGUGUGGACGCCAGUCUGCAUGGAGCCGACCUUGAAAUACCACCCUUUAAUGUUUGAUGUUCUAACGUGGACCCGUAAUCCGGGUUGCGGACAGUGUCUGGUGGGUAGUUUGACUGGGGCGGUCUCCUCCUAAAGAGUAACGGAGGAGCACGAAGGUUGGCUAAUCCUGGUCGGACAUCAGGAGGUUAGUGCAAUGGCAUAAGCCAGCUUGACUGCGAGCGUGACGGCGCGAGCAGGUGCGAAAGCAGGUCAUAGUGAUCCGGUGGUUCUGAAUGGAAGGGCCAUCGCUCAACGGAUAAAAGGUACUCCGGGGAUAACAGGCUGAUACCGCCCAAGAGUUCAUAUCGACGGCGGUGUUUGGCACCUCGAUGUCGGCUCAUCACAUCCUGGGGCUGAAGUAGGUCCCAAGGGUAUGGCUGUUCGCCAUUUAAAGUGGUACGCGAGCUGGGUUUAGAACGUCGUGAGACAGUUCGGUCCCUAUCUGCCGUGGGCGCUGGAGAACUGAGGGGGGCUGCUCCUAGUACGAGAGGACCGGAGUGGACGCAUCACUGGUGUUCGGGUUGUCAUGCCAAUGGCACUGCCCGGUAGCUAAAUGCGGAAGAGAUAAGUGCUGAAAGCAUCUAAGCACGAAACUUGCCCCGAGAUGAGUUCUCCCUGACUCCUUGAGAGUCCUGAAGGAACGUUGAAGACGACGACGUUGAUAGGCCGGGUGUGUAAGCGCAGCGAUGCGUUGAGCUAACCGGUACUAAUGAACCGUGAGGCUUAACCU